GGUCUGGUAGUUCAGUUGGUUAGAAUGCCGCCCUGUCACGGCGGAGGUCGCGGGUUCGAGCCCCGUCCAGACCGCCA
rnacentral:tRNA from 8 species